UCUUGUUGAUCUAGCCCAUGAACGAUCUCAAUAGAACUUGAUGGUGACAACAUUACCGGAAAUUCACGAAGUCUUCCGAAUUCUGUCCUUUUCAGCCAUCCAUUGAAGAAGACGCACGCUUCUUUUUUGCUUUGAUACCACUCAAAAGAAAUACUAAACAAUAAUGGCCGGUAGAGACGAUCCAGGUAAAUUUUUUGUUGGAAACCUGAGCUGGGAAACAGAUAAUGACAGUUUGUGGAACUACUUCAAUCAAUUUGGAAAUGUCACUGAUGCUGUUGUGAUCAUGGAUAGACAAACAGGAAGAUCCAGAGGUUUUGGCUUUGUAACAUUCCAAGACCCAAACUGUGUAUCCAAAGUCAUAGACCAAGGACACAAGAUUGAUGGCCGAGAGGUGUUCCACUAAAGGAUUACAUACCUGUAAUGGAGGAGAGACCAAGAACAGGGCAUAAGGUGGAAAUAUUGCUAUGUGUAAGAGGUUAAACAGCAACACCUCAAAAAAUGCAGAGCAAAGGAUUAAUGCCAGGCCUUGCAAUAAGAACUAGUGUUGACUGGAGUUGAUAAGCUGAUACAAAUACAUCAUACAGCUGACAUGGACACAUCAUUUCAUAUUGGACAUCUUGUCAUCUAUUUGGGGGGAGGGGUCAUGAUUCUUUGAGAGAAUAUCUUUGAUUUAACAUUUGUGUCGUGAGGUAUAUUUUGUUUUUAAAAAAAGUUCAUUCAAUUUUUUAUACGCACAAGUUAGUAAAUCAUGUGUAAAUUCUUGUCUUCAACUUAAAAUUGGUCAAGUGGACACACUGUCAUGGCUAAAUGCUAGUCGAUAAGAGGACCCAAACUUCAUUCUCAUGUUUCAUUUUAUUGUAUUUUCAUUUGUUGUAUCAUUGCCUUCAGAAGAAGUAAAUUGUAAAUGUAAAUAAA